AAGUCGUAACAAGGUUUCUGUAGGUGAACCUGCAGAAGGAUCAUUAGUGAAGAUUUGGGCAGGCCAUACGGACGCCAAAAAGUGUCCCUGGCCGCCUACACCCACUAUACAUCCACAAACCCGUGUGCACUGUCUUGGAGAAAGGCUUCAGAGAAGUUUUUUGUGGCCUCUCUUGGGGUCUUUCUUCGCUACAAACUCGAAUGGUUAGUAUGAACGUGGAACUUGGUUGGACCGUCACUGGCCAACAAACUAUACACAACUUUCGACAACGGAUCUCUUGGUUCUC
rnacentral:misc_RNA from 1 species